GAUGAAGAACGUAGCGAAAUGCGAUAAGUAAUGUGAAUUGCAGAAUUCAGUGAAUCAUCGAAUCUUUGAACGCACCUUGCGCCCUUUGGACUUCUGAAGGGCAUGCCUGUUUGAGUAUCAUGAACACCUCAACUCCUUAUGGUCUUCCAUGAUGGGCUUGGACUUUGGGGGUUUUGCUGGCCUACAGUCAGCUCCUCUAAAAUAAAUCAGCUUACCGGUGUUUGGUGGGUAUCAUGGGUGUGAUAACUAUCUACGCUCGUGGUUUUCCACCAGGUAACCUUCAGCAGUGGAGGUUCACUGGAGCUCAUAGAUGUCUCUCCUCAGCGAGGACAGCCCUUUGAAUGUUUGAUCUCAAAUCAGGUAGGACUACCCGCUGAACUUAAGCAUAUCAAUAAGCGGAGGA
rnacentral:misc_RNA from 1 species